rnacentral:rRNA from 1 species
UAGGGAAUAUUGGACAAUGGGCGCAAGCCUGAUCCAGCCAUGCCGCGUGAGUGAAGAAGGCCCUCGGGUUGUAAAGCUCUUUUGUCCGGAAAGAAAAGCAUCGGGUUAAUACCCCGGUGUUCUGACGGUACCGGAAGAAUAAGCACCGGCUAACUUCGUGCCAGCAGCCGCGGUAAUACGAAGGGUGCAAGCGUUACUCGGAAUUACUGGGCGUAAAGAGUGCGUAGGUGGUUCGUUAAGUCUGAUGUGACAGCCCUGGGCUCAACCUGGGAAUGGCAUUGGAAACUGGCGGACUGGAGUGCGGUAGAGGGUAGCGGAAUUCCCGGUGUAGCAGUUAAAUGCGUAGAGAUCGGGAGGAACAUCCGUGGCGAAGGCGGCUACCUGGACCAGCACUGACACUGAGGCACGAAAGCGUGGGG